rfam:Trichuris trichiura, WGS project CBXK01000000 data, contig: TTRE_861
AGUCAGACGAUGAUCAAGAGGAGUAUAUGAGGAUUAAAGUUCUAGAGAGAAGAUGCACGGCUGAAACAUCUUUACUUUGACUCAUAGAAGGUAGCUUGGGAGUUUUGCGAUCUGAAAGAAGUAAGAACGCACGGUACAUGUCCGUUACACAUGUUCGAGCGGCAGAGUCUUUUUCUGCAAUUUAGGUGGUACCGCGUAAUUUACGUCCUAGAA